rnacentral:rRNA from 1 species
GACGAACGCUGGCGGCGUGCUUAACACAUGCAAGUCGAGCGGUAAGGCCUUUCGGGGUACACGAGCGGCGAACGGGUGAGUAACACGUGGGUGAUCUGCCCUGCACUUCGGGAUAAGCCUGGGAAACUGGGUCUAAUACCGGAUAUGACCUCCUAUCGCAUGGUGGGUGGUGGAAAGAUUUAUCGGUGCAGGAUGGGCCCGCGGCCUAUCAGCUUGUUGGUGGGGUAAUGGCCUACCAAGGCGACGACGGGUAGCCGACCUGAGAGGGUGACCGGCCACACUGGGACUGAGACACGGCCCAGACUCCUACGGGAGGCAGCAGUGGGGAAUAUUGCACAAUGGGCGAAAGCCUGAUGCAGCGACGCCGCGUGAGGGAUGACGGCCUUCGGGUUGUAAACCUCUUUUAGUAGGGAAGAAGCGAAAGUGACGGUACCUGCAGAAAAAGCACCGGCUAACUACGUGCCAGCAGCCGCGGUAAUACGUAGGGUGCAAGCGUUGUCCGGAAUUAUUGGGCGUAAAGAGCUCGUAGGCGGCUUGUCGCGUCGUUUGUGAAAACCAGCAGCUCAACUGCUGGCUUGCAGGCGAUACGGGCAGACUUGAGUACUGCAGGGGAGACUGGAAUUCCUGGUGUAGCGGUGAAAUGCGCAGAUAUCAGAGGAACACCGGUGGCGAAGGCGGGUCUCUGGGCAGUAACUGACGCUGAGGAACGAAAGCGUGGGUAGCGAACAGGAUUAGAUACCCUGGU